rnacentral:rRNA from 1 species
UGCCAGCCGCCGCGGUAAUACGGAGGGGGUUAGCGUUGUUCGGAAUUACUGGGCGUAAAGCGCACGUAGGCGGAUCAGAAAGUUAGGGGUGAAAUCCCGGGGCUCAACCCCGGAACUGCCUCUAAAACUCCUGGUCUUGAGUUCGAGAGAGGUGAGUGGAAUUCCGAGUGUAGAGGUGAAAUUCGUAGAUAUUCGGAGGAACACCAGAGGCGAAGGCGGCGACCUGGACCAAUACUGACGCUGAGGUGCGAAAGCGUGGGGAGCAAACAGGAUUAGAUA